rnacentral:misc_RNA from 1 species
GCAUUAUACUGUUUAACUGAUACCGUAGCGCCCUGACUUCAAUAAGUUGGCCACGAUAGAACAAUGCUAUUAGUAUCUUAUUAAGUCCAAAGAGAGCAGGUAAACAACUAGAGCCUCAAUUAUUAACUAAACAGCUACGACAUGUAGCCAACUUUCGUAUCAAACUCAGUAUUUCACAAACUUUAUGGUAUCAGUUAAACAGUAUAAUGCCCAAAAGGACGCUUUCACCAUUAUUCCAGUUUGUACGCAGAAAACAAAACUAGAUUAACCAGAAUGAUAAAAAAGUCAUCCAGACUGUUGCUUUCUUUACUCAGUAGCUCCAACCCUAUCCCGUGGGAUCAAGCGCAGAUCGGAGCCAUGUUUAAGGAAGACGUUGCCUGCACUUUGUUGAGGAUUGAUUCC